UACGUAGGGGGCGAGCGUUGUCCGGAUUUACUGGGCGUAAAGGGCAUGCAGGCGGUCGGACGCGUUUCGGGUGACAGCGGGUGGCUUAACUACCCGAGUGGUCGAAAGACGGUUUGACUUGAGGACGCGAGAGGGACACGGAAUUCCGGGUGGAGUGGUGAAAUGCGUAGAGAUCCGGAGGAACACCGAAGGCGAAGGCAGUGUCCUGGCGCGUAACUGACGCUGAGGUGCGAAAGCCAGGGGAGCGAACGGG
rnacentral:rRNA from 1 species